rnacentral:lncRNA from 1 species
AACAAAAUUAGCUAUUUUUUAAAGCACAGAAGGAGUAAAUGUAAUAUUAAGUCCUAAUGGCAGAAGUCUUUGAAAAGGGAAUUCUACGGAUUUCGGGGAACAGAAAAAGAAAUGAAACUAGAACACUUACAGUUUGGAUUUGGAAGAUCCUCCAAAAGCUCAUGUGUGGAAGGCUCCCCAAUGCAGCAAUAUUCAGAGGAUCAUCAUUUCUGAGGGAAGCCUGCUGUCAUGCUAUGAGGACACCUAGUCAGCCUUUGGAGAGGUUUGUAUGAUGAGAAACUGAGGCCUCUUGCCAACAGCCACUACCAACUUUCCAGCCAUGUGCAUGCAGCAUCUUAGAGAGGACCCACCAGCCCAGUCAAACCCUCAGAAGACUGCAAC